AUGUUCUCUGUAGCUCUUCUGCUGCUGUUGACUGCUGGAUCCUGUGUGAAGUGUGAACAGCUGACACAGCCAGCCUCUGUGAUUGUGCAGCCAGGUCAGCGUCUGACCAUCACCUGUCAGGUCUCUUAUUCUAUGGGCAGCUACUACACAGCUUGGAUCCGACAGCCUGCAGGGAAAGGACUGGAGUGGAUUGGGGUGAAACGUACUGGGGACUCUCACUAUAAAGAUUCACUAAAGAACACAUUCAGCAUUGACUUAGACCAGGGGUUGCAGACCCCUGACUUAGACACUUCAAGCAAGACAGUAACUUUAAAUGGACAGAAUAUGCAGCCUGAAGACACUGCUGUGUAUUACUGUGCCAGAGAGUGA